rnacentral:rRNA from 1 species
GACGAACGCUGGCGGCGUGCUUAACACAUGCAAGUCGAGCGGUAAGGCCCUUUCGGGGGUACACGAGCGGCGAACGGGUGAGUAACACGUGGGUGACCUGCCCUUAGCUCUGGGAUAAGCCUGGGAAACUGGGUCUAAUACCGGAUAUGACUCCAUGACGCAUGUUGUGGGGUGGAAAGCCUUGUGCGGCUAGGGGAUGGGCCCGCGGCCUAUCAGCUUGUUGGUGGGGUGAUGGCCACCAAGGCGACGACGGGUAGCCGGCCUGAGAGGGCGACCGGCCACACUGGGACUGAGACACGGCCCAGACUCCUACGGGAGGCAGCAGUGGGGAAUCUUGCGCAAUGGGCGAAAGCCUGACGCAGCGACGCCGCGUGAGGGAUGACGGCCUCGGUUGUAA